UGAAUUCGCCUUUUAAAAUUUUAUUUUGUUUGGCUUACAAUGACAGGACUGGGAAAAAAAGAAAAAAGAAAAACUAGAUCAGGAUGAAAGACGUAAAGCAGAGAUGAGAAAACGAGAGCAAGAGGCUAAUGAAAGAAAACACAGGGAGUUUAUUGAACGACAAAAGAUGGCAAGGAUAAACAAGGCUAGAGAGGAUGGCUGGAAGCAGGUCGUUGACCCGUUCUCUAUAGAGGAG